CUUUGGAUAAAGUAACAUCCAAGGCGGAAGGAG
rnacentral:ncRNA from 1 species